GGAUUAGAUACCCUGGUAGUCCACGCCGUAAACGAUGAUUACUCGUUGUGCGCGAUACACAGUGCGCGACUGAGCGAAAGCAUUAAGUAAUCCACCUGGGGAGUACGUUGGCAACAAUGAAACUCAAAGGAAUUGACGGGGGCCCGCACAAGCGGAGGAACAUGUGGUUUAAUUCGAUGAUACGCGAGGAACCUUACCUGGGCUUAAAUGCAUUUUGACCGAUCUGGAAACGGAUCUUCUCUUCGGAGCAAAUUACAAGGUGCUGCAUGGUUGUCGUCAGCUCGUGCCG
rnacentral:rRNA from 1 species